UGGGGAAUUUUCCGCAAUGGGCGAAAGCCUGACGGAGCAAUACCGCGUGAGGGAGGAAGGCUCUUGGGUUGUAAACCUCUUUUCUCAGGGAAGAAUCCUGACGGUACCUGAGGAAUCAGCAUCGGCUAACUCCGUGCCAGCAGCCGCGGUAAGACGGAGGGUGCUAGCGUUGUUCGGAAUUACUGGGCGUAAAGGGCGCGUAGGCGGCCUGUUAAGUUGGAUGUGAAAGCCCGGGGCUCAACCUCGGAAUGGCAUCCGAUACUGGCGGGCUCGAGACCGGGAGAGGAGGGUGGAAUACCCAGUGUAGAGGUGAAAUUCGUAGAUAUUGGGUGGAACACCGGUGGCGAAAGCGGCUCUCUGGCCCGGUUCUGACGCUGAGGCGCGAAAGCGUGGGGAGCAAACAGGAUUAGAUACCCGCGUAGUCC
rnacentral:rRNA from 1 species